AUCUCCCCGUGAAGAAGCGGGGAUAACUAUAUAAGACGAGAAGACCCCAUGGAGCUUUAAACCCAGCAACACCUAUCUUUAUACACCCUUAUAUUCACGUAACUCUACUUGCUCGGUUUUAGGUUGGGGUGACCGCGGAGCACAACAAAACCUCCACGAAAAAAGGACCAACAAUCCUUAUCCAAGAUGCACAUAUCUAAGAAUUAAUAUAUUAACUUUUAAUGAUCCGUUAUUCGAUCAACGAACCAAGUUACCCUGGGGAUAACAGCGCAAUCUACCUCGAGAGCUCCUAUCGACAGGUAGGUUUACGACCUCGAUGUUGGAUCAGGGUAUCCCAGUGGUGCAGCAGCUAC
rnacentral:rRNA from 1 species